rnacentral:rRNA from 1 species
UACGGAGGGGGCUAGCGUUGUUCGGAAUUACUGGGCGUAAAGCGCACGUAGGCGGCUUUGUAAGUUAGAGGUGAAAGCCCAGGGCUUAACCCUGGAAUUGCCUUUAAGACUGCAUCGCUAGAAUCGUGGAGAGGUAAGUGGAAUUCCGAGUGUAGAGGUGAAAUUCGUAGAUAUUCGGAAGAACACCAGUGGCGAAGGCGACUUACUGGACACGUAUUGACGCUGAGGUGCGAAAGCGUUGGGGAGCAAACAGG